rnacentral:rRNA from 1 species
UGGGGGAUAUUGCACAAUGGGCGAAAGCCUGAUGCAGCGACGCCGCGCGGGGGAUGAAGGCCUUCGGGUUGUAAACUUCUUUUGCUCUGAACAAGGCAUGCCUUUGGGGUGUGUUGAGUGUAGGGGUUGAUUAGCGCCGGCUAACUACGUGCCAGCAGCCGCGGUAAUACGUAGGGCGCGAGCGUUGUCCGGAAUUAUUGGGCGUAAAGGGCUUGUAGGUGGCUGGUUGCGUCUGUCGUGAAAGCUCAUGGCUUAACUGUGGGUUUGCGGUGGGUACGGGCUGGCUUGAGUGCAGGAGGGGAGGCUGAAAUUCCUGGUGGAGCGGUGGAAUGCGCAGAUAUCAGGAGGAAUACCGGUGGAGAAGGCGGGUCUCUGGGCUGUUACUGACGCUGAGGAGAGAAAGCGUGGAGAACGAACAGG